GUAGGGCGUAUGUAAAAAAGGAGUGGAUGAUAUGUUAUUAAGAGACCAGCCCAUUGGGAACACAAAAUAUACUCCAAGUAAAAAAAAGAAACAAGCCAGAAACUUCAAAACACGAGCUUUCAGACCGCUGUGGUGUGUCCAUCCUCCUGUAAAUAAAGUCCAAAAGACUUACCCUGAGCACGCGGCAUGUUUUAAGUGGUGGACCCUACCUAUCAAAUUUUUGAAAAGGCCUCCGCCCAGUGAAAUUUAAAAGAUGAAGCUAAUCUGUACACAUAUAAGUCGGGCUGCCAACGGGCCGGGACGAGCACGAACCGAAACUAUGUGGUAGAGGCCCAAUAGUAGGCCUUUCUAUGAAGAUGAUAUAAUUCUGCUGCCUAUAACAACUCAAGGGAACCUGGAGACUUGCAAGUAGGGCUGCCAACAGGCCGGGCUGAAUCUAGCCCGAGCACAAAAAGAGUGUAAUAGAGGCCGGUCUGGUCCCACCGGGCUCUCAAUAAAAGAUGGUAUAACUUUAUGGUUUGUGACAUUUAUGGAAAUCAUCAUCCUUCUCUAAGCAUCGGUCAUCUUUUUGCUCAGGGUUGGUUUCCAUAGUUGGGUUUCUCUUCUUUGCUUCCAAUGCAUUUGAGGUGAUCAAGUAACAAGCCAUGGAUGAAAGUCUUUUAUUUUUUCACUUUUGUGGACAUGGCCUUGCUUGAUGGGUUCUUGGUUCUCUACAAUGCAAAACCUGAGGCAUUUGAGAAGUGGAGAGGAUAUUAAAAAGGUAAAUCAGUGGGGGAGAAGGCCCAUAUUCCUCUGACACUAGUAUCAAGAGUAAUGCAUGUUUUGAUCAAAUGUGGACACACCCAAUGAUUGUUUCAAAACAUAGCGAUUCAUGAUCCAUAUCGUCAAUCUAGACUGGGAAUCGGUCAGGACCAAAACAGUUCUUGGAAGGUAUUGGUGUACCGCUGCCUGAGUUUUGGCGGGCUCCGUGUGCAAAGCCUGCGAAGGAAUACAAAGGAAUGUAACAGAUAUAGAGAGAGAAAACAGACACAAGAGUGAUGGGGAAGGAAAGAAAAGCAUCAGAUCAGAUGUAGAGAGAGAAAGAACGAAGAGCGCUAAGGCUUAGUGUUAGUGUUACCUGAUAGCAUUGCUACUAAGAAAGAUUGCUAGUAAGAUGAUAACAAGUUGCAGGUCUGAAAUCUAAGGUUUCUCCUUCUUUUACCGAGAAAAGUUAGGGUUUCUUAUUGAAAAAAGCUCUCUCUCUCUCUCCUGGUUAAAUGGAGUGGCGUUAUGGCUCACUAUCACGGGGUGUUUCUUUGAAGCUUCAUCGUGAAGAAUAUUUUGGCAUGCAAGUUGCAACUAGAUGUGAGCUAAUAACCAACUCUAGGAGGCAAAGUGUGGCGAGGCCAAUUUGAUAUUUUCCAAUAAAAUUCUCAAAAGGGAACAAGGUAAAUUUGUUAAGGGCAAUUUAUCAAAGGGUGAGGUUUUUACAUGGCGCUGUCCUUAUAUUUAAGGCGCACUAAUUUGCUUGGAGAUAAAGUUUAAGUGUCGAAAACUUUAUGAUGGCUGAAAAAUCGAUUCUUGUACCUAGCUAUAAAAUUUCAAAUUUAAAAAGUGAUACGAAUCGAGGACACUUGAAAAUCUUGAAAAUGAUCAAAAUUUAAUAGGUAUAGUUAAUAUAAGGCAUCAACCUUGAAUAAUCAAAUAACGCUAGAUGGCAUGAAAGCUGAUUCCCACAACUGGAAUUUUGAAAUUAAGGCUCUAAAAAUGGUGCAGAUUAAGCUAAUC